GACGAACGCUGGCGGCGUGCUUAACACAUGCAAGUCGAGCGGUAAGGCCCUUUCGGGGGUACACGAGCGGCGAACGGGUUGAGUAACACGUGGGUGACCUGCCCUCAGCUCUGGGAUAAGCCUGGGAAACCGGGUCUAAUACUGGAUAUGACUCCAUGACGCAUGUUGUGGGGUGGAAGGCCUUGUGCGGCUGAGGAUGGGCCCGCGGCCUAUCAGCUUGUUGGUGGGGUGAUGGCCUACCAAGGCGACGACGGGUAGCCGGCCUGAGAGGGCGACCGGCCACACUGGGACUGAGACACGGCCCAGACUCCUACGGGAGGCAGCAGUGGGGAAUCUUGCGCAAUGGGCGAAAGCCUGACGCAGCGACGCCGCGUGAGGGAUGACGGCCUGGUGU
rnacentral:rRNA from 1 species